rnacentral:rRNA from 1 species
AUUGAACGCUGGCGGAAUGCUUUACACAUGCAAGUCGAACGGCAGCACGGACUUCGGUCUGGUGGCGAGUGGCGAACGGGUGAGUAAUGUAUCGGAACGUGCCCAGUCGUGGGGGAUAACGUAGUGAAAGUUACGCUAAUACCGCAUACGAUCUAUGGAUGAAAGCGGGGGAUCGCAAGACCUCGCGCGAGUGGAGCGGCCGAUAUAAGGUUAGGUAGUUGGUGGGGUAAAGGCCCACCAAGCCAACGAUCUGUAGCUGGUCUGAGAGGACGACCAGCCACACUGUAACUGAGACACGGUCCAGACUCCUACGGGAUGCAGCAGUGGGGAAUUUUGGACAAUGGGCGAAAGCCUGAUCCAGCCAUUCCGCGUGCAGGAUGAAGGCCCUCGGGUUGUAAACUGCUUUUGUACAGAACGAAAAGGUUUCUACUAAUACUAGGAGCUCAUGACGGUACUGUAAGAAUAAGCACCGGCUAACUACGUGCCAGCCGCCGCCGUAA